UAGAUACCCGUCUAUUCAUGACAUAUUUAAUAGCCAAAUAUUACGAACAACAGUUUAAAAUUCAAAGAUUUUGGCGGUGUCUUAUAAACCCAGGGGAACCUGUCUCAUAACUCGAUAAUCCACGCACACACAACCUUCUCUUGAUUCCAGCCUGUGUACUGCCGUUGUAAGUACACCUUUAAAAGAACAAGUGUACCACUAUGAUCUCAUAUACAUCAGGUCAAAGUGCAGCUAAUAAGAAGGCGAUGAUGGGUUACAACCCUAAAAAAGACUAUCAAUUAAGAAAAUAAAAAUCUUAUGAAAGUGGACUUGACCGUAAUUGACAACUACCAUAAAAAAAUGAACCAUACUCUAAGACAUGUACACAUCGCCCGUCACUCUAUCCUAAAGGAUAGAUAAGUCGU
rnacentral:rRNA from 1 species